UACAGAGGUCUCAACCGUUGUUCGGAUUCAUUGGGCGUAAAGGGUGCGUAGGCGGUCGCGCAAGUCGGAUGUGAAAUCUCCGGGCUCAACCCUGAAACUGCAUUCGAUACUGCGCGGCUAGAGUGCUGGAGGGGAGACUGGAAUUUACGGUGUAGCAGUGAAAUGCGUAGAUAUCGUAAGGAAGACCAGUGGCGAAGGCGAGUCUCUGGACAGCAACUGACGCUGAGGCACGAAGGCCAGGGGAGCAAACGGG
rnacentral:rRNA from 1 species